rnacentral:lncRNA from 1 species
AUUGACAAAAAAUUUAAACGAUACCCAUGUACCAUGAAAGAGAGUUUAAUAUACAUUACUGCAAAUGUAGAAUGUGUUUAGAAAUUUUCAAACAACAGUAAAGAUCAUAGGCUUCAGUAUAUAGAGCAUUUACCGAAAAAUUAAAUAUUUCAUAGGGGUUAACCCAUAGAUUUUGAGAAAAAUUAAAAAAAAAAUGAAAAUUAUAUUUUAAUGCAUUGUUGCAUCUCUCACUAACAUAUGAUGAAGGUCAAAGAGGUUUGAAACCUGUG